AACCGUCUAAAUCAAAAUCAACCUAUAUAAUAAAAAUUGAAAAAUUAUUCGACUAAAAAAAAUCUAAAUCAGAAAAUAAAUAAAAACAUACCUCAAUGUACUCGAAUGCUUGUCGAAAGCUCUGAGAUGUUUGUUUCGGCCAGUUCACAUUCAAUGGAAAAAGUGUAUGCAUUUUUGCGACUUUAUUGAUCAUAGCAUUAAAUUUCUUACGCAGAUGUCCAGUUGGUUGCAUGUGUGUUGGCUCCCAUUCUAUUUUAUAUCUUUCAUCUUGUUUG
rnacentral:lncRNA from 1 species